rnacentral:tRNA from 1 species
AAACUUAGGUUAAUACAAANCCAGGGGCCUUCAAAGCCCCAAAUAUGGGA